UCGAUGUGUGGUGAUGAGAACUGUAUUUGAUCUCGCUCGGCUCGGCGUCGCUUCUCGCGGCGUCCGCAAGCUGGGGCUUGCUUAAUGAACUACGCUUGGCGUGCUCAGAGUGCCGAGGCGGCUGGUAGGGCCAGGUGGGGGCUUGAGCCAGUCAAUCGGCGUACGCGCUAGGCGAAAACCUUUCUUGCCUGUGAGGUACCUAAAUGCACUUGUCCGCUGCUGUCGUUGCCUGCAGCAGUGGGCGGGGCGCAAGUGCCAGACUCGUGCUCAGCUCCGCGAGUCGAGAGCGCAAGGUUUGAAGAGUCGGGCUCGAGCCGGCUGUUGCUCACUACUUCAGCUGGCUGGCGUCUGUCAAACACUAGCAGACGCUCCCAUCAUGAGACCGGCCGCCUCACAAAAUGUCUCUUUAUUGAAUUGCUUGAUAUCUUGAAACUGACUGAAUACGGGAAUUGCAAAA
rnacentral:misc_RNA from 1 species